UUUGAAUUCUAAAGUGUAUCUGAAAUGUUGGACAGUUCUGUUACUCUGCCUUUUAUUUGCUUCAGUAGGUAAUAAUUGAUCUGCAUUAUUUUCUUUUGGUACAUAUGUAGUUAUGUACUCUGAAGUCUGACUACAGGUGCUUGAUCUGGGUUUCUGCAUCUCCUUCUAAGCUGACUCUAGUAUGCAAGUAUGCCCUUUACAGAUGUAGAUUACAAGAAGUUCAGUCUUUUGGUUGAUCUCAUAUUCUUGGAUGGUGCCCAGCUGAGUCUUUAAUCCUCGGGUCUUCUUACCUUCUCUGAAAAUAUUCAUAUCAAGAAUUCCAGCCUUCCAGAUCAAGAUAAAGUUCAAACAAAUGAUGCGUCUGAGGUAUACCUUACUUUGCAUUUUGCAAGAUGGUUUUUGUUUGACAGAUAUAAUAAUUCUUCAUUCAGAUCAUGACAUUUCUCUUCUUGCUUGCCAUAUCGAAUGUUUCCUGUUGUAAUAGUUAUUUAUGUUUCAUGCUGACUAGUCUUUUUGUCCCAUGCCUUUGCCAGAAGAAGCUAAUUUGCUACAUUAACCUGCCUGGUUAUUAUAUUGUUCUUAAAUUGUCUUUCACUCUUUCUCUUGCUGGAUACAAAGGAUGAUUGCCAGAGCGUUAACUAAUAAAGGGUGAUGCUACUCAAUUGUGGACAGAGCUCUGACCAUGGACUCACCGCAAGAGUGCAGGUAAGUAUAACUUAGUCAAGCUAAAAUUUGUUUUGUUUUCUGCCCUUUAAGUGUUGAUUCAUGAUUUUUAAUUUUUCGGACUUUUCACGGUGUGAAAACCGAACCGCACCAUAUGAAACCGGAACCGCUCAUAUUAUAAACCUAACCGCACCAAUGGUUUUUGGUUUGGUUUCGGUUUUCGAUUUUAGAAACCGCACCUUCGUGGUUCCGGUUGCGGUUUUAGGUGCAAACCGCACCAAACCGCAGCAUGCACAUCCCUACUAGCCACAAACAAAUUUGUGUGGGGAUCUAGUGUCUGGAUUUCAAGCUUACAAUAUAUAUUAUCGUUAAUUUUGUAGUUUAUUUUUCUAAAAACAUUAAUAUAAAUAUACUAUAUGCAUUUAUUCGCCUAUCUUCUUAAAUCGAUCUACACUGCUUUUAAUAAGUCAGUUUUUACUUAAAUUACAAAAACCCCAUUUCCCUGUUUCUGGUAAAAAAACAGAGUCGUCCCCUUCUUCUUUUAUGUUUGAGUUGACACGUUGGUUUUACACUGUUUCUAUCCGAAGCUGAGCUGUAGUUGUAGUUUAUUUUGCUGUGUUUUGUUUUGGCCCCUGCUCUGCUUUCUCCGUUCCUUGAGUCGCUGUUUUGUGUUCUGAACUGAGUUGGCUGUGUAGGUCGGUGGUUGAGUUCUCGAUCUCUAAGUUGAAUUAGCAGUGCAGAAUUAUAUAUGUGUUUGUGAGUUUUGGAAUUGGUCAUAUGUGCGUAAACCACCACUGAGUCCAGAGCAGAUUGCGUGGGUUGUUGUAUGCUCUUUUGUGCUAAGUUCAGAUUGGGAUGUUUGAAGUCCCGUAGUUUUUAUCGUUGAGUCGCUAGUGGGAGUUCUGAAAUUGGUUGGGUUUUGUAGGUUUUUCUGUUCCGAGUUCAUGUUGGUUUCGUCCUGCCGCCCUUGCUGAGUUUAGUUUAUGAGUUAUUGAGUUUUUCUUUUGUUUCGAUUUUUGAGUUCAUAGCAGAGUUCACAGCAGAGUCACGUUUCUGAGUCCUGUUGUUUUGUUCAGUCGAGUGAAUGAAUCCCUUGCCUCGAGUUUAUGUUAAUUUGAGUUGAGUCACAGCUUCUUUUUUUCCUUCCCAGUUCGUUUGUUUCUGUUUUGCUAGGUGCAACAUUGCUGAAAAGUUUAAUAGUAGUGUCAAGUCACACUUCACAGUACUGAAGUUUGUUGUUCUUUUCGCUUGGAGAUUUCUUUUCUUUACUGAUGUGCAGUUUUAGCUAGAUUUUUCUGAUAAAAAAUGGCGGUUAAAAUUGUUGAUUUGUUGAAUUGGCCAUGUAGAACAAGCAAAUGGGUCAUGCCCGAAUUCCUAUAAAUAUUUGUGUUAAAUUAAAUAAUUUUUUAGGUGAUAAUUAAUUAGUUUAAUUUAUUCUCUUUUUAAGGUGAUAACAAUACCAAAUUGAUUAAUAAUUUUCCCUCAUGAUCACCGGGAUGAAUUAGUAAUAUUAAGUAAAUGAUAAUUAUUAAUUUAUACAAUUCUUUUAUCGAAUUGGAUAGAAAUGAGUCUAAUAUAUG